rnacentral:rRNA from 1 species
GUGGGGAAUAUUCCGCAAUGGACGAAAGUCUGACGGAGCAACGCCGCGUGAGUGAUGAAGGUUUUCGGACUGUAAAGCUCUGUUGUUUAGGACGAAAGUGCCUGUUGCGAAUAGUUACAGGUAUUGACGGUACUGAACGAGGAAGCCACGGCUAACUACGUGCCAGCAGCCGCGGUAAUACGUAGGUGGCAAGCGUUGUCCGGAAUUAUUGGGCGUAAAGAGCAUGUAGGCGGGAAUCUAAGUCUGUUGUGAAAAUGCGGGGCUCAACCCCGUAUUGCGAUGGAAACUGGGUUUCUUGAGUGCAGGAGAGGAAAGGGGAAUUCCCAGUGUAGCGGUGAAAUGCGUAGAUAUUGGGAGGAACACCAGUGGCGAAGGCGCCUUUCUGGACUGUGUCUGACGCUGAGAUGCGAAAGCCAGGGUAGCGAACGGGAUUAGAAACCCUGGUAGUCC